rnacentral:rRNA from 1 species
AUUGAACGCUGGCGGCAUGCCUUACACAUGCAAGUCGAACGGUAACAGGUCUUCGGAUGCUGACGAGUGGCGAACGGGUGAGUAAUACAUCGGAACGUGCCCGAUCGUGGGGGAUAACGCAGCGAAAGUUACGCUAAUACCGCAUACGAUCUACGGAUGAAAGCGGGGGAUCGCAAGACCUCGCGCGAUUGGAGCGGCCGAUAUCAGAUUAGCUAGUUGGUGGGGUAAAAGCUCACCAAGGCGACGAUCUGUAGCUGGUCUGAGAGGACGACCAGCCACACUGGAACUGAGACACGGUCCAGACUCCUACGGGAGGCAGCAGUGGGGAAUUUUGGACAAUGGGCGAAAGCCUGAUCCAGCAAUGCCGCGUGCAGGACGAAGGCCUUCGGGUUGUAAACUGCUUUGUACGGAACGAAAAGUACUGCCUAAUACGGUGGGCGUCAUGACGGUACCGUAAGAAUAAGACACCGGCUAACUACGUGCCAGCAGCCGCGGUAAAC